GCCUCCGUGGCCUAGUGGUAAGGCGUCGCUCUCGUAAAGCGAAGAUCUCCGGUUCAAUCCCGGACGUGGGCA
rfam:Conidiobolus coronatus NRRL 28638 unplaced genomic scaffold CONCOscaffold_4, whole genome shotgun sequence.